AGCUCGCCCAAGUACAGUGAUGUUUACACCUAAUUGAUCACAACCAGUUACAGAUUUCUUAGUUCUUUCUCUACUCCCAUUGCUUCACUUGACUAGACUUAG
ensembl:misc_RNA Y_RNA Y RNA